rnacentral:ncRNA from 1 species
UUCAUACCUCCGCGAUUAAAAAAAAAAAAAAUAGCCAAAUGCCUCGUCAUCUAAUUAGUGACGCGCAUGAAUGGAUUAACGAGAUUCCUACUGUCCCUAUCUACU